GACCUGUUGACAGUGACACCUUAUUGAUGGGCAGGAGAAACCACAUUUCCUAAUCUUCGAGAAUCGUCGUGAUAUAAAUUGCGUCCAGGUUUACCACUAGUUCAUAGUGCGAUUUCAUGGUGCAUCUCAGAGGACCUUGUUAGGAUAAGAGAAGAUCAACAAGAUGAAAACAACAACUUUUCUCGUCGUAGCAGCUAUCUUACUUUCUUUUAUUGUUGAGGAGAGUGACGGAAAAGUUACCACAGUUCUACAUCAUGGUCGCAUUAGAAGCCUUCAGAAAAAGCGGAGACGAACGGAGAAAAAGGGUCAACCAAAAGCAAAUCAGAAGGGUGGAAAUCAUACUAAGCAUGCCGGAUACCGAACUCAGAAAAAAUACACCAGAUGGCACGAGUCUCCAAGCUGGAUGACCGAGUGACUGAACAUCGCUCUUCAGUUGAGAUGCAAGUUUUAUGCGUCGACAAACAAGAAGUCAAGAUGCAGUUGAGAGACUGGUUUUCGUUUUUUAUACUUACACGAGUCCGACUAUACAUGAACGCUAUCAUAAAUUAAUCAUCCGAUUUUAGUAAAAUAGUACUUUUAGGACAUAAUUUUUUGCAAUUGUUUACUUCACGAGUUAUUUGCCUCAAUUCGACAUAAAGGCCUACGGAGAAUUCCAGUGGUCAGUUUUCGCCCAAGAUCUGCCUGCUGUUAUAAUAGGAUUAACUGUCCUCAAGAGGUAAAGCUGAUUACACUAUGAUAAAGCUUUCAAAGCAAGGCGUACAACCAGUUGAAUUGUACAUCAAGUUCAUCAUGUAGUUUUAAACAAUUGCCAAUGACCAGGCGAUCAAAAGAGCAGUAGAAUCGUACCCAUGAGUUGACUGUGUAUAUAGUAAGUACCAUUUCACGCCUGAUUGCAUGUAAUUCCCACGCUUUUUCAUUUGUUGAGCCUUUGUCGUUGUAAGCUAUAUCAACGACAGCAGCUGUAAUAUAUAUUUGAGCUUUUUUUUUUUCUGAGAUGGAUCGCAGGAUCAUAAUAACUAACUUGUUGAAAAAAAUUACUGUCAAAUAAAAGUGACAUUAGUUGUA